rnacentral:rRNA from 1 species
AUGCUUUACACAUGCAAGUCGAACGGCAGCGCGAACUUCGGUUUGGCGGCGAGUGGCGAACGGGUGAGUAAUAUAUCGGAACGUACCCAGUAGCGGGGGAUAACUACUCGAAAGAGUAGCUAAUACCGCAUACGCCCUACGGGGGAAAGGGGGGGAUCGCAAGACCUCUCACUAUUGGAGCGGCCGAUAUCGGAUUAGCUAGUUGGUGGGGUAAAGGCUCACCAAGGCGACGAUCCGUAGCUGGUUUGAGAGGACGACCAGCCACACUGGGACUGAGACACGGCCCAGACUCCUACGGGAGGCAGCAGUGGGGAAUUUUGGACAAUGGGGGCAACCCUGAUCCAGCCAUCCCGCGUGUGCGAUGAAGGCCUUCGGGUUGUAAAGCACUUUUGGCAGGAAAGAAAUCGCAUGGGUUAAUAACCUGUGUGGAUGACGGUACCUGCAGAAUAAGCACCGGCUAACUACGUGCCAGCAGCCGCGGUAAUACGUAGGGUGCAAGCGUUAAUCGGAAUUACUGGGCGUAAAGCGUGCGCAGGCGGUUCGGAAAGAAAGAUGUGAAAUCCCAGGGCUUAACCUUGGAACUGCAUUUUUAACUACCGAGCUAGAGUAUGUCAGAGGGGGGUGGAAUCCCGCGUGUAGCAGUGAAAUGCGUAGAUAUGCGGAGGAACACCGAUGGCAAAGGCAGCCCCCUGGGAUAA